GACGAACGCUGGCGGCGUGCUUAACACAUGCAAGUCGAACGGAAAGGCCCUGCUUUUGUGGGGUGCUCGAGUGGCGAACGGGUGAGUAACACGUGAGUAACCUGCCCUUGACUUUGGGAUAACUUCAGGAAACUGGGGCUAAUACCGGAUAGGAGCUCCUGCUGCAUGGUGGGGGUUGGAAAGUUUCGGCGGUUGGGGAUGGACUCGCGGCUUAUCAGCUUGUUGGUGGGGUAGUGGCUUACCAAGGCUUUGACGGGUAGCCGGCCUGAGAGGGUGACCGGCCACAUUGGGACUGAGAUAUGGCCCAGACUCCUACGGGAGGCAGCAGUGGGGAAUAUUGCUCAAUGGGCGGAAGCCUGAUGCAGUAACGCCGCGUGCGGGAUGACGGCCUUCGGGUUGUAAACCGCUUUCGCCUGUGACGAAGCGUGAGUGACGGUAAUGGGUAAAGAAGCACCGGCUAACUACGUG
rnacentral:rRNA from 1 species